rnacentral:rRNA from 1 species
AACGAACGCUGGCGGCAUGCCUAACACAUGCAAGUCGAACGAGACCUUCGGGUCUAGUGGCGCACGGGUGCGUAACGCGUGGGAAUCUGCCCUUGGGUUCGGAAUAACAGUUGGAAACGACUGCUAAUACCGGAUGAUGACGUAAGUCCAAAGAUUUAUCGCCCAAGGAUGAGCCCGCGUAGGAUUAGCUAGUUGGUGAGGUAAAGGCUCACCAAGGCGACGAUCCUUAGCUGGUCUGAGAGGAUGAUCAGCCACACUGGGACUGAGACACGGCCGAGACUCCUACGGGAGGCAGCAGUGGGGAAUAUUGGACAAUGGGCGAAAGCCUGAUCCAGCAAUGCCGCGUGAGUGAUGAAGGCCUUAGGGUUGUAAAGCUCUUUUACCCGGGAUGAUAAUGACAGUACCGGGAGAAUAAGCUCCGGCUAACUCCGUG